GGCGGCCUUAGCGCGGUGGUCCCACCUGACCCCAUGCCGAACUCAGAAGUGAAACGCCGUAGCGCCGAUGGUAGUGGGA
rnacentral:rRNA from 1 species